AUAACCUGCCUUUCAGGCAUCCUCUCCUAGAACUUAAAAGGCCGCCUCCGGGCGGCCAUUUUUUUGCUUGCA
rnacentral:sRNA from 1 species